ensembl:lncRNA
CCAAAUAUGUUGGGGUCUUCGAUGGUCUGUCCAUCCGGUUUUGUGAACCAGGCCUCCCACUCUUCCUGCAUGUGUUUUCCACAUCCAUGCCGAACACUACGCCUCAUUGGCUGAGAGGUCGGCGACCCCGCCGGUCCGUGAAAACGCACGGGAUGUCGAGGUGCCGCUCCUCUCCUCUGCUCCACACGCUACAGCGAAGGCGACAUCAUCAGAAAAUCAGAAACAUAUUUGCGCAUGUUGGCGACAGAAGUGGCACAUCACCCCGGCUGUCAAACCAGGUACCAAGCAUUCAAACAUUCAAUUCAAACCGUUUUUCUACAACAUUUUUCGGGUUGUUUCACUUUCGGUUGUCAGAUUCUAAAUUCCAAAAGAAGCCUACAGAAUCCGGAUGAGGUCUCGACUGCUCCAGGGUAGCAGCAGGUGUUUCAAUUAAUCCGGUGACCCAGUCAAAUGGAGACUCUCCGCCGAUUGCGGCCAUAGUCACUCGUAGUGACUGGUGUAAAUGGUUGGCUGAGAUUACAAACACAGGUGCGGGUGUGAUAAAAAAUUGAGAGCUCUCAGAGCGUGGAAGUACCAAGCAGAAUCCCCGGUGCUGCUACCGGACUGCUGCAGAGAUCCAAGGAGAGGUGUGAGGAGUUCUACAACGCCUGGAUCGGCAACGUAGUUGCUAGACAGUAUUACAGCCUCUGGAUACUUCUUCCACCACUGGUUUUGACAUCUUGUAAGACGGGCGACUCAACCUUUCCAGUUAGCUGAUUGGGGACCAGCUGGCUGUACAGUUCUCAGGUUAGAAAUCAGAGCGACUUUGUCUUUCUAUCUGUUUCUCAUAUGUUUGCCUGUUUAUAUGUUCAAUGUUUCACUUGUUGGCUUCGGGCUUCAAAUUGGAUUUGUGAAUAAGAAAAGUCUGAGGAGAUUCAUUUGACAUAAAGACACAAUCCCGCACAACAGAAGCACAUUAAAACCUUGUGAAGCCAUUUGGUCGUCAUUGCACAUUCCACCGGAGUUCUCUGGCUCGGGGGGGAGGGACCCUGACACACCCUGUGGGAACGGAGGGAGGGAGGAGGCGUGUAAGUCUGCCCCCACGCUAAUGCUUUGGUUCAUGACUGAAACGUUUUUCCUCAUCUGAACUGAGGAGGAGCCUAAUGUGCAGGGUUGGUCUGUUUGGGGUAAGUGGACUGUACAUGUGUCCUCCGACCACUCAAAGCACUUUAACACUACCGAACACACUUGUGACAGGGCCCAUCAGGUAAUUUGGGGUUGAGUGUCUUUCCCCAAGGACAUGGACUAGCGGUGCCAGGGUUCGAACCACUGGUCCUCUGAUUGAAGGACACUACUCUACUGCUGAGUCUUGCCAACUCAAACAACUCAAAUACCACUAACAAUAAGAUGUUACUUUUGACAUGGUGAAAAGCUAAAGCAACUUUAUGACGAAAAAGCCGUGAGCAGAAGCCUUUUAUCAGUUAAUCUACCUUUUAUUUAUUACACUUGUCCGCAACAAGAAACAAUAUACAUGUAUAUGAUACAACACAUACCACAAGAAUUCCAUAUAAAUACUAUAUGCACACUCUUGUGUCUGGAGCUUGAUGUUCUGCCCCAAGUUACCAAAAGCGCCAAAAUGACUUUGUAGGAAGUUAGAGUUUAAUGGCAGUGUACCAAGCAAAACCAGCUUGUGUUCAUUUCCUGGUAUGACCUGUUGGUGAAUCUGCUUUUUCCAUUCUGAGGAGACAGACGGGGGAUGGGAGUGUGUGGUGUGUACAUGUCUGACUGAACGAGCAAAAAGAAGAGAGGACGGAGAAAAAGUCCAACACAGACAAAGUGGAGAAAAGGAGUGAGAGAGACGGAUCUUCUGCCCAGAAUGAACAUCGGUCGUCAUCCAAAGGCAGCCAAUCUGAGACCUACUCCCCUGCCUCACACACACACACACAGCGGCUCCACAUCAAUGGCUGAGGAACUUUUCUUUUUGGUCAAAGCUCCUCCCACUCUUCCUCCCUCUUUCUGAGGUUGAUACAGUCCAGACCAGCAGAGAACCCACCCAGACACACACCUCCCUUUUGUGAUCGCUAUUUCUCUCUCAUAUUUUAACAUUAACUAUCAUGCUGAGCCCUGUGUAAAAAAUAUGAAAAAUAAACAGUGUCCUGAGGCUACGAGCAGGGGGAGAUUUCCGUUUUUUUCAAUUGCUAAAAAGCAUUGCUGAAACCAUACUUUUAAACCUCUUCACAUAUUCUUCAUUAUCAAUAUUAAUUUGGGCCAAACAGUUAAUGAAACCUCCAAAACAACUAAUUUGUUUUCGUGCACAUCUGAAAGGUUUCAGCCUCUCCCUCCUCUCUGAGCCAAACGUUGGGUCCUAAAACACAACAGUUACUGUAUUGUAACAGGUUUCAACAUUUAGACUAUGUAUUGUACUGUAAUAUGUAUCAUCUCACUUGUUUUGCUGGAAAAUUUGUACUAUUGACGCAACUGUUGAGCAGUGCAGAUUUGGUUGCACCCUUUGACCGGCCUCUCAAAGUGAGACCAGUGAGACCAGUGAGACACAGAAUUGUCUGCUGUGAUCCAUAUUUCUAAACAAAAUCAGUUCCAAGCUAUUGGCUUUUACUGAAACAUGGUGAUGAGAGUAAAGCAGGACACCUGGAUCAGCUUUGAGCUAAAAUUGCAAUUAGCUUGGACUGAUUUUUCUUUCUAUUUUCUAUAUUUCUAAAAUAAUUACUGCAGAAUUUUUUGAAAUUUGUCAUCAUUCUGAUUUGAAUGUGUUUUUAUCAGUUGAUUUUGAAAACUGUGGUAAUUGAAUGCAUUUUGUCUGAAAGCAAUGAAAAAGGAUUUUUGACCAGCAAUUGUUGAUAAAAAUGUUUGUUUGUUUUUUGGUAAGGUUCAGGAAACAGGUGGCAUUAAACUAGCAGAGGUAAAAAAG